UACGGAGGGUGCAAGCGUUAUCCGGAUUCACUGGGUUUAAAGGGUGCGUAGGUGGGUCUGUAAGUCCGUGGUGAAAUCUCCGAGCUUAACUUGGAAACUGCCAUGGAUACUAUAGAUCUUGAAUACUGUGGAGGUUAGCGGAAUAUGUCAUGUAGCGGUGAAAUGCUUAGAUAUGACAUAGAACACCAAUUGCGCAGGCAGCUUACUACACAGUAAUUGACGCUGAGGCACGAAAGCGUGGGGAUCAAACAGG
rnacentral:rRNA from 1 species